GACGAACGCUGGCGGCGCGCUUAACACAUGCGAGUCGAACGGAAAGGCCUGCUUUCCCUUGUGGAUUGCGGGUACUCGAGUGGCGAACGGGUGAGUAACACGUGAGUGAUCUGCCCCCAACUUGGGUAUAAGCCUGGGAAACUGGGUCUAAUUCCCGAUAGGACUGCAGGGUGGUGCCUGUGGUGGAAAACGAUUUUCUAGUGGUUGGGGAUGAGCUCGCGGCCUAUCAGCUUGUUGGUGGGGUAAUGGCCUACCAAGGCGGCGACGGGUAGCCGGCCUGGGAGGGUGGACGGCCCCAUUGGGACUGAGAUACGGCCCAGACUCCUACGGGAGGCAGCAGUGGGGAAUAUUGCACAAUGGGCGGAAGCCUGAUGCAGCGACGCCGCGUGGGGGAUGACGGCCUUCGGGUUGUAAACUCCUUUCGACCGCGAGGAAGCCACCUGGUUGGAAGGGUGGUGACGGUAGUGGUAGAAGAAGCACCGGCUAACUACGUG
rnacentral:rRNA from 1 species